CGUCACGUGGCGCGAAGCUUCCUUUCUCUGUGCGGCGCUCUUUCCUUCCUCGGCCGCCAUCUUGUUCUCACCGCGUGUUGGGCUGCGGAGGGGCCGCCGAAUUCAGGUCGCGCUUGGCCCGCGGCAGAGCCCGGAUGAACUUGUUAGCCUUGGGUUGGAGCGAUGGCUGCCGGAGGUCCGAGCCGACACAACACUAUGAAUCAAGAAAAACUAGCCAAGCUUCAAGCUCAGGUCCGAAUAGGAGGAAAGGGAACAGCUCGCAGAAAGAAGAAGGUGGUGCACAGAACAGCUACAGCUGAUGACAAAAAACUUCAGAGUUCACUCAAAAAACUGGCAGUAAAUAACAUUGCUGGCAUUGAGGAGGUGAACAUGAUAAAAGAUGAUGGAACAGUUAUUCACUUCAACAACCCCAAGGUUCAGGCAUCCCUCUCUGCUAACACUUUUGCAAUUACUGGUCAUGCAGAGGCUAAACCGAUCACAGAGAUGCUUCCAGGCAUCUUAAGCCAGCUUGGUGCUGACAGCUUAACAAGCCUCAGGAAGUUAGCUGAACAAUUCCCAAGACAAGUGUUGGACAGUAAAGCACCAAAAUCUGAAGAUAUUGAUGAAGAAGAUGAUGAUGUCCCAGAUCUCGUAGAAAACUUUGAUGAAGCAUCAAAGAAUGAAGCUAACUAAAUCAUUAAUAGUUCUGGAAGCUGGCAUGGACUAGAUUUAAGAAAUCAGCUAUGUGGUUCCAAAGUUUUAAAGAAACAGAGAACAUCAUCUGUUAAUAACCAUUUUGCAGACACUGAAGAACUUCAUGGAUUUAUUCAGAAACAUGGGGGCUGCAGUGCCAGUCAAGAAUUCAGGUAGCCAAGCAGAGCAAGUGAAGAGACUUAACUCUAAAAUCGGUCUUGCUGGUAUGUCUGGGUAGAAGCUUGGGUUUAUGCAUAGAGCGUAGUAAUUGGGAACUGGGCUUUUGUCUGGACUCUGGCACUAUAUUUGGCAAGAAGAAACAAAUGCACACAUCUUAAAGUGCCUUAGUUUGCCUUCGUUUUGGGAGCACCACCCUUCCUCACACAAGCACGUGAUGCGUAAAUGAAUAAACAGUCUGGAUGGCUCUUGAGAGAAAAGAGCUGCAUCUGCAAAGGCUGAUUCCACGUGGUAAGCACAUCCUGUUCGUUGGGCCAACAGCCCUAUUGAGCACCCCCUAUUAAACAACAGACCAGCAGUUUGCUCAGAUGCCAUUUUCUUGUGGCAAUCUGGUAUCUGUCAGAUUCUCAAAUGCUAUACAGCAUUUCCUUAAAUCUCUGUUGCGGGUGGACUUCGUGAAUGUGCUUAAUCUGUCACAUCCUUACAGUAAAAAGGGAUUAUUUAAAACUCCAAUGAGCAGAUAAAAGUAUCAAUAGUAAGGCAAAGGUUUAAACAAUAAAAAGGAAUUAUAUUCCGUGGUAUUUUGAGUUGUCAGUGUAUAUAUUCCAGCUGAGUAAUUAUGUGACCUCUCACCCUUUCUUGCAACAUCCUUGUGGCAGCUAUAGUAACUGCUAAUGUCAAAAAGUAAUAUUAGAAAGUAUUUAAUGUAUUUUUAGAUUGUCUGAUGCAACUUAGCAUACAAAGAGGAGCCAGUGCUAUGUGACCAGCUUUCUCCAGACACUGAGAAGUGUUGUGCAAACUGCAUUUUCAUCAGAUCUGACUCUGAGUCCAGAUGUGAAGCUGGAAAUUUCCAAAUGAUGCAAAUUAUUGCCAAAUGUAGGUAAGUGAAAACUUAAAAUCUCAGCAAAUUGUCAGCACCUUUGCACACCAGGAGUAAAGCUUGCUGAUAGGCCUGCACCAAUCUAAUGCUUCCUCACCACCAAGAGAAAUAAAUAGGUCUUGCUUUUUUCUGCUUUCUUGAGCACCAGAAAUAGUUAUCUAAUCUGUGAGGCCAAUUGGAUCACCUUGCUCAGCUGGUUGUAAAUCACUUCUUUUUUUUUGUUAUUUUUCACUUUACUGUGAAAGCUGUACCAGAUGGUUGAUUGUGGUUGUACUUGCAUGUGCUAAAAGCUUGACCAUUGCUUAUCUUGACAGCUUGCUUUCAUUGGUUCAUUCAGCUUGUGAAACUGCAUCCUAAGCGUUGGCAGCAGUGUUUGAACUUGCAGGUCUCAGAUUCCUGCAGAGGAAGCUGUAUGUUCAGGGCCCAUCUGGUUGUCUUUGCCUUGCCACCCGACAGAAAGCUAGCUUUCACUUUCUGCUAAAUAAAUGGUAGCCUUCUUUUAAAAGAAGCAUUUGCACUGCAGUCCUUUUGGGCAGGCUUGGCAGAGGUGACCACACAUCAGUGGGCCCUACAUACUGAACCAGCUUUUUUUUUUUCCCCACCAUUUCUGCUGCUUCUGCCUUUGAGGCUUCUCUUGGCAAGGUGGUAUUUGGAGCUUGCGGUGCUGCUGCCAGAGACAUACUGAGUUUGGAAGAAAGGAAGGAUUUGCCAUAUUGAUGCCUUGGGUGACCAAUCUGGUCAGAUUCUGUAACUCAAAGCUUAUUUUUGAACUUUCUUUUAAUUAUGAAAUAUGGAGGUCAUAACUGGCAAGCUGGUGCCUGCAACAUAGGCUGGAUAAGCUGAAUGCAGAAUGACUUCAGCAUGCUCUUAUUGCACCCACCCUUUGCUCCAGCCAUCCUCUGCUUUGUAGUUACACAGCACCCAAAUAGAGCCUUCCUCCACUGCUCGUUUUGCAUGCCUCUUUUCUUUUUAGAUAGUGAAAAGUGAUGGGGGGAGGGGAACAGGAAUAGAACUUUUUUUUUCUUUUCACUGAAAACCUCAGUCAGUAAAUGGCUUUCAAUGUGAGCUUUAAUAAAUUGCUGUUUCUAUGAUGGAGUCUUAUUUCAAAUGGUUUUCUAACAUGUUGUGUUUAAUUGAAAGUAGCUGUAACUUGCUUACAGUGUUUUCACAGUCUGCAGACUGAUGAUGGAACUAAAGUUUCUCCCUGUUCAAUUUGAAGCGUUUGCUCUAUUUGUAUGUGAGUGACAGUUGCAGUGAUGGAUGGCUUGCAUUUUCUUAAUGUUUCUAAAAGAAAGCAGGGCUUAAAGUAACUUCUACUUUGAACAGGGGUUUCCCACAGCUUGGUUUCUGCAGCUUGAUUGAAAGAUACCAGCAUUUCUCAGAAUCUGCUGCUGGAUAUUUGAGUAUUUUGCUGAGGCUUCUGUUUUGACUCAAAAGAGAUGUCAAUUUUCUGAAAAGCAAGGAAUGCAUUACAUUUUCUAGUAUCUUCUACAUCUUUUCUCUCGGCCUCGUAGUUUGUGUUGUAAAUUAUUAACUUUGGAACGCAGCAAUAUUAUAACCCUUAUUUAUUCUCUUGCCCUUUGAGUUGCAGAAUUGCUUUCAUUGGCAGUUUGUACUGAAAACUGUCAGCCACUUCCAACUCUGAAAUUGUAACAGUUUAUCCCAUUACAUGGUGGUUUUCCAGCUCAGUUCUGUAAACCUUGAAAUUGGCUAUCCAUAAAAAAAAAAUAUUCCUCCCAUUCUUUUAUUUUAAAGGCUACAAGUCAAAUUAGAAGGGGUAAUCUAUUGCUCCUAGUGAUGCAUGCUGUUUCCUGAGGAUUUUGUUAAAUGAGAGAGGGUUUUUAUAGUGCAGUCCUUGUCACUGAGAACUUGGUGACUUUGAGCAGCAUUGCUUGUUCUGUGGGAACAUACAGUGGAAUGUCACAGGUGUCUUAGCUGUUAGAAAGCUUUCCAUGUGUGCUUUUUUCUAGCUUUAAUCUGCAUAAUAUUCUGAGUGCAGUAAGCUGUAAUAAAAGGUUUAGAUGCCUUACACCAACACUUUCUUAGUGGCUGACAGUACCCUCAUCAAGAACACAUACUAAGUGCAUCUUCCUUGGUAACCACUCACAUUGUUUUCUACCUUGAACUGUAAUCAUGAGUUUGUGCUGCCUCACAUAAUAAGAUUUGCAAACACUUGAAAACUGCUUGAGCUCUUUGGUCCUUAAUGACUCAGGACAGCCAGGUAUCAGGAAAGAGCAAAUGAAAAGUAGCCAUUCAAAACAAGACUUCACUUUCCUUGAAUAAACAUGAGAGCUACUUUUUGUGCAUGUUAGUUUUUCUGCUGAGCCAUUAAUCUGUGUUAAGAUUUGUAUGAGAUGUGCCUUUAUUCGCUUUUUACCCUUCAGUUUUAACUUAGAUAAGCCAAGAUGAGAGAGAUGAUGAAAUACUUAUCUGUGAUUAGUCUUACCCUCCUAAACAGUCCCAUGGAAAAUAGCUGUGGGAGAUGGAUUGUCUACCUGCUCAAUAAAAACAAGCCUUAACAGUUGUUGCCAUCACAGUUAAGUAAUCCUGUUAAAGCAAAAGUACGUGAUCUUUGUCAGAACAGAACAUCUCUCUGGUUUUGCUGUUUUCCCUUUAUUUUACCAAGAGUUUUGCUUUUUUUUUUCCCACUCCAGCUCCUGCUUCCCCAGAAGCUUCUUGCUGUACUUACUAUUAUUCUGUGGCAAACUUAGUGUUUAAUCUUAUAUCCUUGGACAUACUGGUUUUGUCAAGCAUUCCUAACUAGUUUACAGUCACAUGGUAAGAACAGGAAUGUACUGUAGUUGCUUAUCUAAUAACUCUUAUUCAGUAGAUCCCAUAAGCCCUUUGAACUUCCAUCCAAGGACCAAAUACGUCAGUGUCCAUGUAUAGGUUACUAACAAACGUCUAGGUGACAAGAAACAACAAACCCCAGAGUUCACUUGGUUUUGGUGGUUUUUUUAUUUUUUUAAGCAAAUUCAGAACAUUCAGCUGACUGAUUUUGAGUUACAGUUCUGAACAACUUAGAGUCUCGUCAUUGAGAUGUUGAAGAAGUAAUAGGGCAGGGCUUCCAAAGUGCUCUGACUCACAGCACUCCACAAAAUCUUAAUCAUGUGAUUUGGCAAGGCAUAAAUAAGCCUGUUUUUUAUAGGCCUAAUUACACUUAAUGAAGAAACAUCCUUUAGCUAGAGCAAGAGGUUGCCACGUAGUUGUGAAGUCAAAAUAUUGCUAUGAGAACAGGAUGGUUCAAGCAGAGCCAUGGAGUUCAUUGGAAUAGCAGGAGUGUGUGCAGUCAUGCCUGUUCUCUCUUGUGUACAUGUAUGUGAGGUGUUGGUAGAGCUUGUCUGUGACAGUAAGACUGACUGAUUCCCUGUUUGCCAUCACUGCUGACCUAAUAAAUGACAUGAUGAAGACUA